AAGUAAAAGGCCAGAACCUCACCUCACACUCACAGACACUCGGUCGACUAAAGAAAAAGAGGGAGACGGAGAGAGAGAGAGAGGGCAAGGGAGACGGAGAGAGAUAGAAGGAGUCGAGCGAGAAGAAAGGCGAAAGAGAUGGAUGCAAGUAAGAUGGAGAGGAAUUUGAAGAUUCUAUGGAGAAGACCAUGAUGUUCAUUGUCUGUAGCACGCUGGUGCUUCUAUGUUCUACAUCAGCAUAUGCACAAAAGGGUGAAUCUCCUCCAUCUUACUCCUUGCAUAAGUAUGCCAUAAAGGAGAGCUAGGAAAAUGAGCUGGUGGUGGUCUAGUGUCGCUGUUGCUGCAAGGGUAUUCUUCUGUAUCGAUUACACUAAUCUAUUCAUCAUCUAUGUUCAUGUAUAGGUUUGUGAUUUUGGGAUGUCAUGGUUUGUAGGUAUCUUACUGGUGUCAUACUUAUUUCCUUCUAUUACUGCAGUUCAUGUAUUGUUGAUGGAAGCUCUAGGUUUUCUGAUAUGGAGGAAGGAUAUCAAUGGACUUGAAGAUCUCUAAUUAAAGAUUAUGAUAUGGAGGAUAAACUUAACAAAAACUGAAGACAAUCCUCGGACAUUUGGCUGAGAAGAAUUAUGUGCCGGUGGUCAGAAUUAACAUGAGUCGAAUGCCAAUAGCAAUGCAGCUUCAUAUUCAUGAUUAGUUGUACUUAGUUGUACUGUGAUCUAGAUUUGGCCCAUUUUUUGAUGUCAAAAAUUUGAUGUACUUCAUCUAUUUUGGCCUAUUUCCAUUUCUAAACUCGAAAUUGUUUUUUUAUUUAGUAACUAUGGUACUCAUCUUGGUUGUGGUUGUCUAGGAAUGAUCAUAGUUGUGGUUGGUAAUAGCGUUAGUACUGUUUUUGGGAUUUGUUGGUGUUGAACUUUUAAUGGUGGAUUAAUAUAU